rnacentral:rRNA from 1 species
UCAGUCGACUCCUACGGGGAGGCAGCAGUGGGGGAAUAUUGCACAAUGGGCGCAAGCCUGAUGCAGCCAUGCCGCGUGUGUGAAGAAGGCCUUCGGGUUGUAAAGCACUUUCAGUCGUGAGGAAGGUAGUGUAGUUAAUAGCUGCAUUAUUUGACGUUAGCGACAGAAGAAGCACCGGCUAACUCCGUGCCAGCAGCCGCGGUAAUACGGAGGGUGCGAGCGUUAAUCGGAAUUACUGGGCGUAAAGCGCAUGCAGGUGGUUUGUUAAGUCAGAUGUGAAAGCCCGGGGCGUCAACCUCGGAAUUGCAUUUGAAACUAGGCAGACUAGAGUACUGUAGAGGGGGGUAGGAAUUUCAGGUGUAGCGGUGAAAUGCGUAGAGAUCUGAAGGAAUACCGGUGGCGAAGGCGGCCCCCUCGGACAGAUACUGACACUCAGAUGCGAAAGCGUGGGGAGCAAACAGGAUUAGAUACCCUGGUAG